CAUUUUCCAAGAUAUACUCUCGAGGAAAACAAAACGCAAAUCCACCUGUUUUCUUUUCCAUGCCUUUCUGGAAUAUUUUUCAUUUCUUUUCUUUUCCGUUUCACCAUUUCCUCUUAAAAUUAUUAUUAUUUUCCUUCCCCUUCCAUUCCAUUCCUUUCCAUUCCAUCCUGCAAAACACAUCAACACUAGUCUUCUCCUAUCUUUUAUCUCUCUUUCUCUCUCAUCUCACUUUCUUUCAUGCUCUCUUCUUCUUUCUCUUGACUCAUUCUCCUUUUUCAACUUAGCUUUCUCUCUCUUUCUCAAUCUCUCUCUUCAAUCUUGUUUCUUUUUUCCUAAUUUUUCAUCUUAUUUUAUUUAA